CCUACGGGUGGCAGCAGUGAGGAAUAUUGGUCAAUGGACGAGAGUCUGAACCAGCCAAGUAGCGUGAAGGAUGACUGCCCUAUGGGUUGUAAACUUCUUUUAUAAAGGAAUAAAACGAGGCACGUGUGCCUUUUUGCAUGUACUUUAUGAAUAAGGAUCGGCUAACUCCGUGCCAGCAGCCGCGGUAAUACGGAGGAUCCGAGCGUUAUCCGGAUUUAUUGGGUUUAAAGGGAGCGUAGAUGGGUUGUUAAGUCAGUUGUGAAAGUUUGCGGAUCAACCGUAAAAUUGCAAUUGAUACUGGCAGUCGUGAGUACAGUUGAGGUAGGCGGAAUUCGUGGUGUAGCGGUGAAAUGCUUAGAUAUCACGAAGAACCCCGAUGGCGAAGGCAGCUUACUAAACUGUGACUGACAUUGAUGCUCGAAAGUGUGGGUAUCAAACAGGAUUAGAUACCCCUGUAGUC
rnacentral:rRNA from 1 species